rnacentral:rRNA from 1 species
CCUACGGGUGGCAGCAGUGGGGAAUAUUGGACAAUGGGGGCAACCCUGAUCCAGCCAUGCCGCGUGUGUGAAGAAGGCCCUCGGGUUGUAAAGCACUUUCAGUGAGGAAGAACGCCUGGUGGUUAAUACCCAUCAGGAAAGACAUCACUCACAGAAGAAGCACCGGCUAACUCCGUGCCAGCAGCCGCGGUAAUACGGAGGGUGCGAGCGUUAAUCGGAAUUACUGGGCGUAAAGCGCGCGUAGGUGGCUUGAUAAGCCGGUUGUGAAAGCCCCGGGCUCAACCUGGGAACGGCAUCCGGAACUGUCAAGCUAGAGUGCAGGAGAGGAAGGUAGAAUUCCCGGUGUAGCGGUGAAAUGCGUAGAGAUCGGGAGGAAUACCAGUGGCGAAGGCGGCCUUCUGGACUGACACUGACACUGAGGUGCGAAAGCGAGGGUAGCAAACAGGAUUAGAUACCCUUGUAGUC